AUGGUGUCUUGGAGUGAAGGAUCCAGCUCUUCGUCCGACGGGUACUCUGUCACAAGUGAGGCUCCUGCUCCUGCCAUCAUUUUCUGCUCUGAGUGGAGAGGCCUUGCUCCAGAUCUUGCAGCUAGAUGUGAACAUCAGUGUGUCUGUGAGAAGUUAGUCUCCUUUGAAUCAGUUGACAGUGGAAGGAGGUAUCUUGCUUGUGCACAAAAGGAAAUACCUAAAUGCAACUUUGUGAAGUGGAUUGACCCUGAAUGGCCUGCCACUCUGAAGAUGAGUUUAGCCAGGGUUUGGGGCAUGUAUCAAGAUGAAAACAAGCUAAGGCUCAGGGAAAAUGUAGUUAAUGCUGAAGAGAAUUUUAGGGUUGUGAAAGAGAAGGAACAGAUGGAAAAGGAUCUGAGGUUUUUUAAACUAGAUUUUGCUAAGAUGGUGGCUGACAAGGAGCAGGCAAUUACUGAAUUGGGCAAUGCAAGACUUGUUGUUUCUGACCUGAAGCAACAGCUUGAGAAGAAGAAGAUGUCUGAUAAAUCUAGCACUACCAUUCAUCAGGUUGUGAGGGCUAAGGCAGAGAAAGAGAGGAAUGAGAUGAAGCAAAAGAUGGACAGCAUGAAGGAACAUAUGGACAACAUGAAGGAAGAGUUGGACAUAGUUGUGUCACAGAGGGAUGACCUGAAGAAGGAGAAGAAGAAACUUGAGUACAUGAUUGGUGAUUUAUUCAGGCACAAGGAGGAGAACAAGAGCAAGAUAAGGAGGUUGAAGGAGAUCUUAGAUGAAUUUGAGUAA
rnacentral:rRNA from 1 species